rnacentral:rRNA from 1 species
UAGAGUUUUGAUCAUGGCUCAGGACGAACGCUGGCGGCGUGCCUAAUACAUGCAAGUCGAGCGGACUGAUGGGAGCUUGCUCCCUGAAGUCAGCGGCGGACGGGUGAGUAACACGUGGGUAACCUGCCUGUAAGACUGGGAUAACUCCGGGAAACCGGGGCUAAUACCGGAUAGUUCUUUUCCUCGCAUGAGGAAAAGUGGAAAGGCGGCUUCGGCUGCCACUUACAGAUGGACCCGCGGCGCAUUAGCUAGUUGGUGAGGUAACGGCUCACCAAGGCAACGAUGCGUAGCCGACCUGAGAGGGUGAUCGGCCACACUGGGACUGAGACACGGCCCAAACUCCUACGGGAGGCAGCAGUUGGGAAUCUUCCGCAAUGGACGAAAGUCUGACGGAACAACGCCCCGUGRGUGAUGAAGGUUUUCGGAUCGUAAAGCUCUGGUGUUAGGGAAGAACAAGUAUCGUUCGAAUAGGGGGGCCCCUUGACGGUACCUAACCAGAAAGCCACGGCUAACUACCUCCCAACAGCCGGGGUAAUCCCUAGGUGGCAAGCGAUUUCCGAAAUUAUUGGCCGUAAAGGG